rnacentral:lncRNA from 1 species
CUGGGGUUAAAAACCCUAGUAGAGAGCCUUUGUUUUUUUUUUUGUUUUCUUUUUUUUUCUAUGCUGCAAACAAUGUUUUUUUUUCUAAAAAAACUGUUUUAAAUCAUGCUAGCAAAACGACACUGUUUUGGGGAGGCGGAUUAUUUCCAAUUUGGCCCUCCAUGUAAUUCCCGUGUCGCGAUUUCGCCCAUUAUUUUGCUUAAAUUUCAUUUAUUUCUUGUUAUUUUAGUUUUUUUUAACUAUUUGUUUUUUUU